CUUGGUUCUGGCAUCGAUGAAGAACGCAGCGAAAUGCGAUACGUAGUGUGAAUUGCAGAAUUCAGUGAAUCAUCGAAUCUUUGAACGCACAUUGCGCCCUUUGGUAUUCCAAAGGGCAUGCCUGUUCGAGCGUCAUUUGUACCCUCAAGCUUUGCU
rnacentral:rRNA from 1 species